rnacentral:rRNA from 1 species
UACGUAGGGGGCUAGCGUUGUCCGGAAUCAUUGGGCGUAAAGCGCGCGUAGGCGGCCCGGUAAGUCCGCUGUGAAAGUCAAAGGCUCAACCUUUGAAUGUCAGCGGAUACUGCCGGGCUAGAGUCCGGAAGAGGCGAGUGGAACUCCUGGUGUAGCGGUGGAAUGCGCAGAUAUCAGGAGGAACACCGAUGGCGAAGGCAGCUCACUGGGACGGUACUGACGCUGAGACGCGAAAGCGUGGGGGAGCAAACAGGG